GGCCUUCCAGAACCCUAAGUCUGGCUUUUGUGGGACCUCUGGCCAUCCUCCUGACAGCUGCCACAGUUCGUCCCCAGAAACGGGGAUCUCAUUGGCUCUGUUAGCUGCUUUUCUCACUGCUGACAAUUACCUAACAAAAGCAACUCACGGAGGGAAAGUCCAGGACUCCAGCCCGUCGCAGAAUGGUGUCCCUCGUAUUCAGGGAUGCUAAACGGUGAAGGUGGACUGUGCAGAGCUCCGGAGAACACCGCUGGAUUGCG